rnacentral:rRNA from 1 species
GGGGAAUAUUGCGCAAUGGGGGAAACCCUGACGCAGCAAUACCGCGUGAGUGAAGAAGGUUUUCGGAUCGUAAAGCUCUGUUAUUGGGGAAGAAAAAAAGACGGUACCCAAGAAGAAAGUCCCGGCUAACUACGUGCCAGCAGCCGCGGUAAUACGUGAGGGGACAAGCGUUGUCCGGAUUUACUGGGCGUAAAGGGCACGCAGGCGGUUUUUUAAGUCAGAUGUGAAAGGUACCGGCUCAACCGGUGACAUGCAUUUGAAACUGAAAGACUGGGUAAUUGGGAAGGAAGGGGGAAUUCUUGGUGAGGGGGUAAAUGCGUUAAAAAUUGGAGGAAAAACGGGUGGGAAGGGGGGCUGCCGGAAAAAAUCUGACGGCGGGGGUGGAAAGCGUGGGGAGCAAACA